GUUCUGUAGCUUUUAUCAACGAUUUGCAUUCUCUAAUGAGCGAUUUUAUAGCAUCGUUCGCCCGAUCCAAUUCUCGUUCAUGUUCAUGUAUGUUCUCGCGAAAGUACGGACUGUCCAGCAGUGCUUCCGAAAAUUCCAGAGGUUUCAAGCCCAUGAUUUCGCUGCUUCUUGGAUACUAAGGUACGGUGGUCGCAGUGUUUUAUAAAAAGGAAGCAAGUCGCAUCGUAAAGAGUAUAUGUUCACAGGUUGAUUUGUGACCUUUUGCCGUCGAGUCUACAGAAUUUAAUACUUG